rnacentral:ncRNA from 1 species
CCGUUCUCAACGGGGUGCUAAUAAACAUACACAAAAUCAUUCAAGCUGCAGCAAGGCGGCAAGCGAGUGAAUCCCAAGGAGCAUAGAACACUAUGUGACUGGGGUGAGCGGACGCAGCCAACACAGAGGCUGCUUGAAUGAUGAAGCGUAUGGGCUGAGAUAAUACCCGUCGAACCUGAUCCGGAUAACGCCGGCGAAGGGAUUUGAGGCUACAGCUCAA